rnacentral:rRNA from 1 species
AUGGCUCAGGAUGAACGCUAGCUACAGGCUUAACACAUGCAAGUCGAGGGGCAGCAUUGGGAUAGCUUGCUAUUCAGAUGGCGACCGGCGCACGGGUGAGUAACGCGUAUCCAACCUUCCUGCCAGUAGGGAACAGCCCGGCGAAAGUCGGAUUAAUGCCCUAUGUUCUUCAAUGCGGACAUCUAAGUUGAAGGAAAGAUUCAUCGCUGGCAGAUGGGGAUGCGUCCGAUUAGCUUGCCGGCGGGGUAACGGCCCACCGGGGCGACGAUCGGUAGGGGUUCUGAGAGGAAGGUCCCCCACACUGGUACUGAGACACGGACCAGACUCCUACGGGAGGCAGCAGUGAGGAAUAUUGGUCAAUGGGCGUAAGCCUGAACCAGCCAAGUAGCGUGCAGGAUGACGGCCCUACGGGUUGUAAACUGCUUUUAUGCGGGGAUAAAGUGCGGCACGUGUGCCGCUUUGCAGGUACCGCAUGAAUAAGGACCGGCUAAUUCCGUGCCAGCAGCAGC